UACGUAGGGUGCAAGCGUUAAUCGGAAUUACUGGGCGUAAAGCGUGCGCAGGCGGUUUUGUAAGUCAGAUGUGAAAUCCCCGGGCUUAACCUGGGAACUGCGUUUGAAACUACAAGGCUAGAGUGUGGCAGAGGGGGGUGGAAUUCCGCGUGUAGCAGUGAAAUGCGUAGAUAUGCGGAGGAACACCGAUGGCGAAGGCAAUCCCCUGGGCCUGCACUGACGCUCAUGCACGAAAGCGUGGGAGCAAACAGG
rnacentral:rRNA from 1 species